rnacentral:rRNA from 1 species
AGCGAACGCUGGCGGCAUGCUGAACACAUGCAAGUCGCACGGGCAGCAAUGUCAGUGGCGGACGGGUGAGUAACGCGUAGGAACGUGUCCUGAGGUGGGGGACAACCCCGGGAAACUGGGGCUAAUACCGCAUAUGGGCUGAGGCCCAAAGCCGAGAGGCGCCUUUGGAGCGGCCUGCGUCCGAUUAGGUAGUUGGUGGGGUAAAGGCCUACCAAGCCUGCGAUCGGUAGCUGGUCUGAGAGGACGACCAGCCACACUGGGACUGAGACACGGCCCAGACUCCUACGGGAGGCAGCAGUGGGGAAUAUUGGACAAUGGGCGAAAGCCUGAUCCAGCAAUGCCGCGUGGGUGAAGAAGGUCUUCGGAUCGUAAAGCCCUUUCGACGGGGACGAUGAUGACGGUACCCGUAGAAGAAGCCCCGGCUAACUUCGUG